GCACUGCUGAGGAGUCCCACAAUAGGACGAAACGGCCGUCCAGUAC
rfam:Schistosoma mattheei strain Denwood, Zambia genome assembly, scaffold: SMTD_scaffold0000147